GUGGGUGACACUAAUGACCACAUGCAGGCAACAACAUAUAACAAAAACUAUGCCUUUUUUACAAUUAAUUUUUACACUUGUUCGCUCACCUUGUUUGAAUAAUAACUUAAUUUCAUACAUUUAUCCUCCCUACAAUGUCCAGGUUCCUUCACCACUUGGGAUUCAUAUCACUUUUGCAGCUGCAUAAUCACUAGUUAUUAGACUUCAAACACAAAAGGAGACAUUGUGUGUUUUCAGCAUCCUCUUGACUGAAUGAAAAAAUUACAAGUGAUUUACUCCCCAAAGCUAAUUUAUCACAAGUUGUGCUUUAGGAAAACUUAGUAGCACCUAUUUAUGAAUGCAGACAUUAAUAGUAUACACCGUAGGGCUUUAGCUUUGGUUAUGAAUGCAGACAGUGCUUUAUCUGCUGGUUGUGAAUUUUUCAAUACUCUAUGAAAAUGUUACAUUUAAACGCCAUGUACUCUGCUGAAGUAAGAAAAUCCUACAGGUUUGAAACAACAUUAAGGCAAUAAAAUGAUAUGCCCUAUUUCGGUGUUAAAACAGCAUUUUGUGUGUGACUUGUGUAACAAAUGUUCUGGCUUCAUUCCUCUAAAAAAGAGGAAACCGAAAACUCAUAAAAAAUGACAUUUGCGUAGUUCGAUUUUGUUUUAGUUUUUGUUGCCGCUGCAAAGAUUCACAUAUGCGAUUAUGAGGCUUCGAAGCGCACUGCAUCGGCUUAAUGUGUUUCAUUCUACCACGUCUCUUUAUAAAGACAGACCAUUAGAGCUGAUCACAGAGGCAUGUCUAGCAUCCGUUCAGUCUUUUCUAUUUGCUCGAGGGAGGAUGCCCUUCAUUAAAAUAACAACAGCUCAUCUCAUGCAUAUGGAAAUGGAUCUUUCACCAGUUCCUACACUCUAAAAAAUGCUGGGUUAUUUGUUUAACCCAACAGCUGGGUUGAGCCUGUUGGGUCAUUUUGUUGGGUUAUUUUCUUAGUGUUGGGUCAUUUUUUGAGUAACCCAAACGCUGGGUUAGCAGUCGGGUCCAAUUGAGUGACAGUUGAGAGAGUAAACCCCUCCCACUCCUCGACGCAUCAGACAAACUCUACCUUCGCGGGCAUUUUGAUCCACCUCAUCUCGAAAAGUUGUUAUUCGGAGAAGAAAAGGUAUGUUCACGAGUUUUUAAUGUAUAAAACUAUUACUGUACAAAAAAAAUGCAAAAGUAUGCAAAAUUCGGCUGUUCGCAUUAGGUUUGAAAGAAACGUUACAAUCUAGCUUCGUUAGCUUUGUAUAGCUAGUCUGUAACGUUAUGCCCACGUUGUUCUAACUUACAGCUUUUUAAUCGUUUAAACUUCAUUUUUGGUCAACAUUUCCCUUUGAAAUUCCUGACUCGUGUGAGUCAUUUAGUUAAGUAACUUACGCAUCUUGAUAUUAGUUUAAGGUCGACACGAGAGAGCGUCGUGUCAAAAGCAAACAUCCAGCAAUUUUUUUAUUUUAAAUACCGCUAAUGUUCGGUGAGGGAACUUAGUUUAAAUGGUCUUUUAGACGAGAAUGUAGUUGUUAAGAACACAAAUACGUGAUUUAUAUAUAAACAUAAAGCCUCUUUGAGAUUGUGUUAAGAUGCUGUCGGAGGUGUGAGCUUCAGGCUGUCAGCAGUCGUGUCUCCGUGGAGAGCAGCUCUAUCUCGGCCAUUGCCUCGGGAGUAGCCGCUCUUAUAACGUUGCAGAAUAACAGCUAAUACUAAUAGAUCAUUCCAUUCAAGAGAAAGUCAACUGGAACGUGGAUGUUUUCAUAACAGGCUCAAAGAUUAACAAAUUGAUAAAGAAACCCUCCUGCUGGACAUCCACUUCCAAAAGGGCACGCCACACUGUUGUCUACAAACUCCCAGGAAAAGAAUCCUCUUUAGUAAGACUGCUCCGUGGAUAUGUCAGGUUAAGCAGUGCUGAAACCGAAAGAACUAACGCUCUUUAAAAUGUUUUGUGAGUUUAUAUGAAGAGGAAAGUUACGGUGUCCCUUUUUCACAUCCAUAACGCUUGUUUAUUUCUUUUUUUAUAGAAAACUUGUGCAUAUACUGAUAUUUUAUCAUAUAAAUGCGAUUCUAUCAACAAGGGUUUAGUAAAAUACUUUUUAUAGUGUUUUUAUGUCGCAUCCAUAACGCUGCAUUUUACUCAUGCCACUUUGUUAACUGUAUAUGAAUUUUUGAAGUGUUAAGUUGUCUAACUAUUUAUAUUUACUUGUGCCACUUUAAUAACCUUGUUAAAUGUAUAUGUUAAAGUCUAAACUAAUGUAAUUUAUUGAAGUUAAUUUUCCUUAAAUAUGUAUAAACAUACAUUUCAUCAAAGUGUUUUAUAUGCCAUUUUAUUGUUCAUUGAGCAUAACAUAUUGCAUGUUUUUAUGAAUUCCUUUUGUCUUGCAUUUUGAUCCUUAAUAAAACUUUUGAUUCUUACUGA